rnacentral:lncRNA from 1 species
AGGACUCUACUUGACCUCUUCUCUCCUAAGACAUUUGUACUUGAGUAGGGACUAUGACUGUGACUGUGACUGUGUCUGUGAGCGGCUUGAGCUGCAGAUUAUCUGAAUCAUUUUUAUUUCCAUUUUACUAUAAAGUAGAUGCUUACUGUAUUUCUGUAAGUUAAACAGACGACCAGAAGGCAGGGACCACAAGGUCAUGGGAAUGGUAAAGAGAUCAGACAGCAGAUUUCAGCACCCUGGACAGAGCCCCACUCGCAGAAAACCGGACCGUCCAACCUGACAGUGGUUUCCUUUUGGGAGUCUCAGAUACAGUAACUCCAACCCUCUGGCAGGAGGCGCCCCUGCUUCUGACUUUGCCUGACCCAGGGGCACAGGCUCUAUGCAUUAUUCUCAUAAUCACCUCCUUCCUUUUGAACUCACAGCUCAUAUUUUAAGGCCAUUAAAAGAAUUUUCCCCAGGGCUGGAGAGAUGGCUCAACUGUUAGGAGCACUGGCUGCUCUUCCAGAGGUCCUGAGUUCAAUUCCCAGCAAUCACAUGGUGGGUCACGACCAUCUGUAGUGGGAUCUGGUGCCCUCUUCUGGCCUGCACGUGUACAUGCAGUCAGAGCACAUAAAUAAAAACAAAACAAAAACAAAAACACAACAUUUCCCCCCAAAGCAAAGAAAGCCAAUACCGACUCUCAAUGCUGCCGGGCAAAACAAUGGCAAUAAUGUCCGUCGUUGGCUGAGGAUUGUCACUGUUCCAGGAGCUUCACAAGGUAGAAUGACACCACCCUCACACCACCAAUACACCUUAUCAGAGCCACUUUAUGAAGGAGGAAACCGAGCUCAGAGAGGCUAAGGUAGCCACUCAGUGUCAUGUAGUCAUCAGCAGAUCUAGGAUCUGAGACUUUUGCUCUUUAUUUAGUCAGAAGGCAUUGCUCUAAAUUGCUCCACGGUGUCCCCACAUAAGACCCUGCUCUGACAAGAAGAUAAGGAAUGCUUUGCUUGCCCUGCAUCUUUAAGUAGAGUUACUGGGUAUCCCCAUUUAAAAGAUGGAAGAAAUAAUCCCCCAAAUUGGGCAGCCCAGCUAGUGGAGCCCCACAACGUGUGAGGGGGUUGUUCAAGAAGCCUCGCAGAGGGCUGGAAGGCCUUGCACUCCUUUAUCCGGUGAUUUGUCCUUUGCUCGCACAGAUGCAAGGAUGCUCACCUGAUGCUCACCAUGUCCCUCGGGAACUGGGACAAGGCCUGGUUCCCAUUUCUUUCUCAAUUUCCUGACCCAUGCUGGGUGCUCGGACAUUGGCUCGAGUCCCGGCUCCUGGCACAACUCUUGCCAAGAGAUGAUUAGUUCAGAGAAUGCAGGGAGGCCAGAACCCAGGGAAACUGCUGUUUCCAUGAAAUGCACUGUGGGAACUAAGAGCUGAGUGUGGAGCCUGACACUCACCAAGCUAACUUCAUUCUGUAGAGGAGAGCAGAGCCAUGCACAGACCUGUGCCUACACUUCAGGGCACCGGCUAUUGUGCCCAUCUUAUAUAGAGGGACUGUCCUGGGGUUUCCAUUGGUGUGAUGAAACACCAUGACCAAAAGAAAUUGGAAGAAAAGGGUUCGUUUCUCUCGGUUUUCUAUAACCAUUCAUCAUCAAAAGCAGUAAAGGCGGGAAUUCACACAGGGCAGGAUGUGGGAGGCAGGAGCUGAGGCAGAAGCCAUGGAGGGAUGCUGCUUACUGGCUUGCUCCUCAUGGUUUGCUCAGCCUGUUUUCUUACAGAGCCCAGGACCACCAGAGCAGGGAUGACACCACCCAGUGAUCACUAAUUAAGAAAGUACCUUACAGCCAGAACUUAUGGAGGCAUUUUCUGUACUGAGGCCCCUUCCUCUCUGAUGACUCUAGCUUGUGUCUAGCAAGGACAGAAACUGAGCUCCCAACAGCACUGGCCUCAUUUCUUCAGUCAGUGGGUGAUAGAAAUGGACCAGGGCCAAGGUGCCCUCUUCACUUUGUGGCCUCCAGGUUCCUGUGUGAUGUUCCAAAUGGGGUAAAACUGCUUCCUCCUUUCUGAGCAGGCAGGGGAGGGGAAAGUAACUGGAAUCACAAAAGAGGAGAAGAAAGAUUGGGAAGAGAAAGCUGUCAGACUUUGAAAGACAAAGAGUGAUGUUGAAUGAUCCUUAAUAUGUAUUCAUUACCUGACAUUAAAGUUUAUGAGCAUCCAUAUCUUUUCAAAAAACAUUUACCUGCUCCUUCAUAAUCUCACAUAUAUUUUGGUCAUAGUCACUUCUCCUUCUCCUGUCCCAAUGUCUCCCAGAAUCUCCCACAUACACAUCUCUUCA